AACGAACGCUGGCGGCAUGCCUAACACAUGCAAGUCGAACGAGACCUUCGGGUCUAGUGGCGCACGGGUUCGUAACGCGUGGGAUCCUGCCCUUAGGUUCGGACUAACUCCCCGAAAGGGGUGCUAAUACCGGAUAAUGUCUUCGGACCAAAGAUUUAUUGCCUUUGGAUGGGUCCGCGUUGGAUUAGCUAGUUGGUAGGGUAAAGGCCUACCAAGGCGACGAUGCAUAGCUGGUCUGAGAGGAUGAUCAGCCACACUUGGACUGAGACACGGCCCAGACCCCUACGCAAGGCAGCAGUGGGGAAUAUUGGACACUGGGCGAAAGCCUGAUCCAGCAAUGCCGCGUGAGUGAUGAAGGCCUUAGGGUUGUAAAGCUCUUUUACCCGGGAUGAUAAUGACGGUACCGGGAGAAUAAGCUCCGGCUAACUCCGUG
rnacentral:rRNA from 1 species